UUAUCACAAAUCUCCCACCGUGUAAGUACAGUUUGUAUUCGUUUAAUAACAUUAUUGAGUUUUACUCGAAGGAACUGAAAUAAAUGAUGCACAUUGUCAGUAGCGAUGUGGCGUUGCUUUGAUUAGGCUAAAAUUAGCCGUUAUGCUAAAAGUAAGUCGAGUUUGAGCAAUAUGUCAUGUUAUCACAGCAAUCUGGUGCAGUUUAUCAGGGUCUUCCUACACUGGUCCUCAAAGACAGCUGGUCAACAUGUUUUCCAGCAUCUCUGCCCAUCAUCCACCUGCUGUGUGUUCAGUCAGAGCUGAAAAUGACUAUUUUAGGGUCAAUAACAAUCAGUCAUCUGUCAGACAGAAUUCAAGACUCUUUCUCCAGGCCGACUAAUUGUCUCCAGUGCAAAUGAUCCUCUGUCAUCACACUCCCUGAGGACACUCCAGAGUAGCAGGUCUACAUGUUCUGUUAAGAGACUGGAUUCUGAGAGCGAGAUCCUGUGAAGUGUUCAUCAAAGCUGAAGAGAAGAACUGGAUCUGUGUUCAGCAACUGUCCGGAGUUGGUGGAUGUUCUGUCAGAGCCUGAUUAAAAGAGUG